CAGUGAAAUCUCACGGCUUAACUGUGAGCGUGCGGGCGAUACGGGCAGACUUGAGUACUGCAGGGGAGACUGGAAUUCCUGGUGUAGCGGUGGAAUGCGCAGAUAUCAGGAGGAACACCGGUGGCGAAGGCGGGUCUCUGGGCAGUAACUGACGCUGAGGAGCGAAAGCGUGGGGAGCGAACAGGAUUAGAUACCCUGGUAGUCCACGCCGUAAACGGUGGGUACUAGGUGUGGGUUUCCUUCCUUGGGAUCCGUGCCGUAGCUAACGCAUUAAGUACCCCGCCUGGGGAGUACGGCCGCAAGGCUAAAACUCAAAGAAAUUGACGGGGGCCCGCACAAGCGGCGGAGCAUGUGGAUUAAUUCGAUGCAACGCGAAGAACCUUACCUGGGUUUGACAUGCACAGGACGCCGGCAGAGAUGUCGGUUCCCUUGUGGCCUGUGUGCAGGUGGUGCAUGGCUGUCGUCAGCUCGUGUCGUGAGAUGUUGGGUUAAGUCCCGCAACGAGCGCAACCCUUGUCUCAUGUUGCCAGCGGGUAAUGCCGGGGACUCGUGAGAGACCGCCGGGGUCAACUCGGAGGAAGGUGGGGAUGACGUCAAGUCAUCAUGUCCCUUAUGUCCAGGGCUUCACACAUGCUACAAUGGCCGGUACAAAGGGCUGCGAUGCCGCGAGGUUAAGCGAAUCCUUUUAAAGCCGGUCUCAGUUCGGAUCGGGGUCUGCAACUCGACCCCGUGAAGUCGGAGU
rnacentral:rRNA from 1 species